rnacentral:tRNA from 1 species
CGUUUUAUGGCCAAACUGGUCUAGGUAUCACCGAUUAGAUGAGAAGAUGUGGAUUCGAAUCCCGCUGGAACGG